GGGUUGUGAGGUUAAGCGACUAAGCGUACACGGUGGAUGCCCUGGCAGUCAGAGGCGAUGAAGGACGUGCUAAUCUGCGAUAAGCGUCGGUAAGGUGAUAUGAACCGUUAUAACCGGCGAUUUCCGAAUGGGGAAACCCAGUGUGUUUCGACACACUAUCAUUAACUGAAUCCAUAGGUUAAUGAGGCGAACCGGGGGAACUGAAACAUCUAAGUACCCCGAGGAAAAGAAAUCAACCGAGAUUCCCCCAGUAGCGGCGAGCGAACGGGGAGCAGCCCAGAGCCUGAAUCAGUAUGUGUGUUAGUGGAAGCGUCUGGAAAGGCGCGCGAUACAGGGUGACAGCCCCGUACACAAAAAUGCACAUAUUGUGAGCUCGAUGAGUAGGGCGGGACACGUGGUAUCCUGUCUGAAUAUGGGGGGACCAUCCUCCAAGGCUAAAUACUCCUGACUGACCGAUAGUGAACCAGUACCGUGAGGGAAAGGCGAAAAGAACCCCGGCGAGGGGAGUGAAAAAGAACCUGAAACCGUGUACGUACAAGCAGUGGGAGCACGCUUAGGCGUGUGACUGCGUACCUUUUGUAUAAUGGGUCAGCGACUUAUAUUCUGUAGCAAGGUUAACCGAAUAGGGGAGCCGAAGGGAAACCGAGUCUUAACUGGGCGUUAAGUUGCAGGGUAUAGACCCGAAACCCGGUGAUCUAGCCAUGGGCAGGUUGAAGGUUGGGUAACACUAACUGGAGGACCGAACCGACUAAUGUUGAAAAAUUAGCGGAUGACUUGUGGCUGGGGGUGAAAGGCCAAUCAAACCGGGAGAUAGCUGGUUCUCCCCGAAAGCUAUUUAGGUAGCGCCUCGUGAAUUCAUCUCCGGGGGUAGAGCACUGUUUCGGCAAGGGGGUCAUCCCGACUUACCAACCCGAUGCAAACUGCGAAUACCGGAGAAUGUUAUCACGGGAGACACACGGCGGGUGCUAACGUCCGUCGUGAAGAGGGAAACAACCCAGACCGCCAGCUAAGGUCCCAAAGUCAUGGUUAAGUGGGAAACGAUGUGGGAAGGCCCAGACAGCCAGGAUGUUGGCUUAGAAGCAGCCAUCAUUUAAAGAAAGCGUAAUAGCUCACUGGUCGAGUCGGCCUGCGCGGAAGAUGUAACGGGGCUAAACCAUGCACCGAAGCUGCGGCAGCGACGCUGAUGCGUUGUUGGGUAGGGGAGCGUUCUGUAAGCCUGCGAAGGUGUGCUGUGAGGCAUGCUGGAGGUAUCAGAAGUGCGAAUGCUGACAUAAGUAACGAUAAAGCGGGUGAAAAGCCCGCUCGCCGGAAGACCAAGGGUUCCUGUCCAACGUUAAUCGGGGCAGGGUGAGUCGACCCCUAAGGCGAGGCCGAAAGGCGUAGUCGAUGGGAAACAGGUUAAUAUUCCUGUACUUGGUGUUACUGCGAAGGGGGGACGGAGAAGGCUAUGUUGGCCGGGCGACGGUUGUCCCGGUUUAAGCGUGUAGGCUGGUUUUCCAGGCAAAUCCGGAAAAUCAAGGCUGAGGCGUGAUGACGAGGCACUACGGUGCUGAAGCAACAAAUGCCCUGCUUCCAGGAAAAGCCUCUAAGCAUCAGGUAACAUCAAAUCGUACCCCAAACCGACACAGGUGGUCAGGUAGAGAAUACCAAGGCGCUUGAGAGAACUCGGGUGAAGGAACUAGGCAAAAUGGUGCCGUAACUUCGGGAGAAGGCACGCUGAUAUGUAGGUGAGGUCCCUCGCGGAUGGAGCUGAAAUCAGUCGAAGAUACCAGCUGGCUGCAACUGUUUAUUAAAAACACAGCACUGUGCAAACACGAAAGUGGACGUAUACGGUGUGACGCCUGCCCGGUGCCGGAAGGUUAAUUGAUGGGGUUAGCGCAAGCGAAGCUCUUGAUCGAAGCCCCGGUAAACGGCGGCCGUAACUAUAACGGUCCUAAGGUAGCGAAAUUCCUUGUCGGGUAAGUUCCGACCUGCACGAAUGGCGUAAUGAUGGCCAGGCUGUCUCCACCCGAGACUCAGUGAAAUUGAACUCGCUGUGAAGAUGCAGUGUACCCGCGGCAAGACGGAAAGACCCCGUGAACCUUUACUAUAGCUUGACACUGAACAUUGAGCCUUGAUGUGUAGGAUAGGUGGGAGGCUUAGAAGUGUGGACGCCAGUCUGCAUGGAGCCGACCUUGAAAUACCACCCUUUAAUGUUUGAUGUUCUAACGUUGACCCGUAAUCCGGGUUGCGGACAGUGUCUGGUGGGUAGUUUGACUGGGGCGGUCUCCUCCUAAAGAGUAACGGAGGAGCACGAAGGUUGGCUAAUCCUGGUCGGACAUCAGGAGGUUAGUGCAAUGGCAUAAGCCAGCUUGACUGCGAGCGUGACGGCGCGAGCAGGUGCGAAAGCAGGUCAUAGUGAUCCGGUGGUUCUGAAUGGAAGGGCCAUCGCUCAACGGAUAAAAGGUACUCCGGGGAUAACAGGCUGAUACCGCCCAAGAGUUCAUAUCGACGGCGGUGUUUGGCACCUCGAUGUCGGCUCAUCACAUCCUGGGGCUGAAGUAGGUCCCAAGGGUAUGGCUGUUCGCCAUUUAAAGUGGUACGCGAGCUGGGUUUAGAACGUCGUGAGACAGUUCGGUCCCUAUCUGCCGUGGGCGCUGGAGAACUGAGGGGGGCUGCUCCUAGUACGAGAGGACCGGAGUGGACGCAUCACUGGUGUUCGGGUUGUCAUGCCAAUGGCACUGCCCGGUAGCUAAAUGCGGAAGAGAUAAGUGCUGAAAGCAUCUAAGCACGAAACUUGCCCCGAGAUGAGUUCUCCCUGACCCUUUAAGGGUCCUGAAGGAACGUUGAAGACGACGACGUUGAUAGGCCGGGUGUGUAAGCGCAGCGAUGCGUUGAGCUAACCGGUACUAAUGAACCGUGAGGCUUAACCUUACAACGCCGAAGCUGUU
rnacentral:rRNA from 1 species